rnacentral:tRNA from 1 species
ACAUUGGUGGUUCGCUGGUAGAAUUCUUGCUUUCCAUGUGGUAGGCCUGGGUUCAAUUCCUGGCCAAUGCA